UAGGGAAUCUUCCGCAAUGGACGAAAGUCUGACGGAGCAACGCCGCGUGAGUGAAGAAGGUUUUCGGAUCGUAAAACUCUGUUGUCAGAGAAGAACAGGUUGGAGAGUAACUGCUCCAGCCUUGACGGUAUCUGACCAGAAAGCCACGGCUAACUACGUGCCAGCAGCCGCGGUAAUA
rnacentral:rRNA from 1 species